ensembl:lncRNA
GGCCAUCCAUCGACCAUCUGGCACACGGUUCCCUUCUGACAUUGGACAUCCUGGCAGGACGGCUGGUUCUGCACACAGUGGGGCCACCCAUCUGUCAUCCUACACGACGUCCCUUUGGGACACUGUAUGUCCUUGCAAGAAGGCUGCUUUGGGACCACCUUGGGUUGCAAACAUUGAGGCCAUCCAUCCACCAUCUCACACACCGUCCCCUUGGAGCACCGAACAUCACUACAGGUGGGUCUCCUGACAGAGGUCUUGAUUUGAACACACUGGGGCCAACCAUCCACCAUCUGGCACACAGUUCCCUUCUGACAUUGGAUAUCAUGACAGGAGGGCUGGUUCUGCACACAGUGGGGCCACCCAUCUGUCAUCCUACACGACGUCCCUUUGGGACACUGCAUGUCCUUGCAAGAAGGCUGCCUUGGGGCCACCUUGGGUUGCAAACAUUGAGGCCAUCCAUCCACCAUCUCACACACCGUCCCCUUGGAACAGUGGAAAUCACUACAGGUGGGUCUCCUGAUGGAAGUCUUAAUUUGGACGCACUGUGGCCAACCAUCCACCAUCA